UCUCCGUAGGUGAACCUGCGGAGGGAUCAUUACAACGUAUCCACGUAUAAACCUUUGUGAACCUGUUGAACCGCAUAAUGUGGCGUCGCAAAGUAUGAGCGAUUCGGGAAUAGAGCUCAUACCCGCCUUUCCUCGCGAAAGGGGAUGCCAUUCAUUGUGUUUUUCCGUUACAUUAUUAACCACAUGUAAAUUUCAAUGUAAUUACGGAUUUUGGGUGAAAGCCCUUAAUCUGAUUAUAUAUAAGAAAUUAUAGCACAACUCUUAGCAACGGAUAUCUAGGCUCUC
rnacentral:misc_RNA from 1 species